rnacentral:rRNA from 1 species
UUGAUCCUGGCUCAGAAUCAACGCUGGCGGCGUGCCUAACACAUGCAAGUCGAACGAGAAAGUGGAGCAAUCCAUGAGUAAAGUGGCGACCGGGUGAGUUACACGUGACCAAUCUACCCUUGAGUGGAGGAUAACCUCGGGAAACCGGGUCUAAUACCGCAUAACAUCCUCGGAUCGGAAGAACUGGGGAUCAAAGGAGUAAUUCGCUUAAGGAGGAGGUCGCGGCUGAUUAGCUAGUUGGCGGGGUAAUGGCCCACCAAGGCAAAGAUCGGUAGCCGGCCUGAGAGGGCGCACGGCCAUACUGGAACUGAAACACGGUCCAGACUCCUACGGGAGGCAGCAGUGGGGAUUUUUGCGCAAUGGGGGAAACCCUGACGCAGCAACGCCGCGUGGAGGAUGUAGUCCCUUGGGACGUAAACUCCUUUCGACCCGGACGAUAAUGACGGUACUGGUGGAAGAAGCCCCGGCUAACUUCGUGCCAGCAGCCGCGGUAAUAAGGU